ensembl:lncRNA
GUCAGCACAUGGCCUUGUUAGUUGUUUUCUCUGCCAUGUGCUCCCUUAGUCCCUCCUUGUUUCUUUUCUACGUCACCCUCUUGUUAGCCUUGUUAGUCUAAUUGUGCUCACCUGUUCCUCAUGUGUUUUCCUCCCUAUUUAUAGUGCUCCUUACCCUUUUGUUUUUGCUGGUUCGUGGUCAUUUUCACCCCCUCUGUCACUGUCUUCAUAGCUGUCUGUGGAUAUGGCUUUAUAUGUGCCCGUGUCUCCCUGUCUGGUUGGUCUUGUGCCCUUGUUUUGUCUAGUCCUUGUUGUUUCAUGUUCUUGUCUUGCUCCUUAGGUUGGUAAUCUGUUUGUUCUUGCUUUUAUUUUACUUGUAAUUUAGUUUUUCUAGUCCUGAUUCUUGGUUUUGUUUGAUAUUCUUUAAGUUGGUUAAAUUGGUAAUUAUUUCUUAUUUUUGUUACUUUACUCUUUAUUAGUUCAUUGGUUUAUUUUUUUCCCUUAUCUUGGGGUUAAUUUGUGUUUCUGUGGAGCUUUGUCGUGUCUAGUCUUGUGUUAGAGUUCCUGAUCUGUUCCCGUGUGUCCUGCCCUUGUUCUAUCUGCCUGACUCUUGGUCUGCUUCUGAGUCGGCGGUCACCUAAUGUUUGAGCUCUGCUCUAUGAUGCCUUGUGUGGUCUUCUCCAUCAGCCUGGUCUUGCCGCCCCCUCUGUUGCCAAUGUAUUCUGCAAGUUUCCUGAAGCUGACCCAGUGGCCUUCCCUAGCUGUUCCUGUUUAUUGUGUUCCUGUUGUGGUAUUUGUGCACUUCACUACCCUCUUGUAUCAGUCUGUUUUGUCAAUAAACCAUUGUUCACUCACUCUCUAACUGGGUCCUCCUUCUCAGAUCCCUGACAUUACGAACCAGCCCAAGUCAGGACCCAGCAGAUGAGCAUCACUACUCCGGGUUUUUUUUUUUUCAUUUUAUCUAGUGAAUUUUUUUUGCCCUGAAUGUUAAUCAUGUCUUGUUAGUUUCAGAUACCCCUGAGUUGGCUGAUUGCUGCAGCUAUCCCUGAUCUAGUCAAGUUCAAUUUCUGAAUCCGUCAAGUCAGUUUCAAACUCUGCUGGGAUUGCUGUAGUCAUCUUUGCUUCAAAUCAUUCCAGUCAGAAUUAAAGUUAUCCAAGCCGCUCCAGUGUCGGCUCCAGCCCCAGAGCUCGCUCCAGUGUCGGCUCCAGCCCCGGAGGGCAUCAAGAAUCAGUUCCUGCAGCCCCCGAGUCUCUUCCAAUAGCCCCCACAGUCCUUCCCCAGUCAAUAUUGGAACCUAGUCCAGAGGUGUUUAGUUCGGUGGUCUUGUUGUCAGAACCUCAAGUCAUAGUUACAAGGGUAUUCUACCAAACCUCCCAGCCUAUUUGACUGUUACAGAAGUUGUACCGGAGACUGUUCUAGCCUCUCACAUCCUGUCAUCAGAAGUCAAUCUUGUCACCAUGCCCACUGAAGUUUCUCCUGUCAUUUGUCAAGUGUCCAGAGAUCACUCCUGUCAUGUCCACAGAUGCUGUCUAGUCCCCAGAGUUCACUCCUGUCAUGUCCACGGAAGAUGUUGUCAAGCAUCCAGAGUUCACUCCUGUCAUGUCCACGGAAGAUGUUGUCAAGUCAUGCCUUCAGAGGUUGUCCCUACCCAUCAUGUCUGGGCCAUACAAAGUGUUCCUGCUUGUCCUGUCACUCCUAUAGAGGUCGUUCCUGCCAGUUGGGUCAUGGCCAUAGUUGUUCCUACCGUCAAGUUAUGGCCAUAUAAAAUGUUCCUGUCUGUCCUGUUAUGUCCUCGAAGGCCGCCCUUGCCAGUUGGGUCAUGGCCAUGGAGAUGCGUUCUUGUUUGUCUUGUCAAGCCCACAAAGGUUGUUCCUGCUAGUCAAGGUACAGUCACUGAGAUCAUACCAGACCAGCUAUCUGCUGCUUCUGAUGAGUCCCUCAGAGGAUGAUCCUGAUAGAAGUUGCGCCCACUGAGAUCAUACCAGACCAGCAAUUGGCUGCUUCUGACGAGUCCCUCAGAGGAUGUUCCUACUAGUUGUCAGCCACCUGAAGAGGCUAUCCUGUCUGUUUUGUCCCAUCCUUGAAGAUUGUUCCUGUUUGUCUUGUCAAGCCCAAGGAGGUGGUUCCUGCUAGAAGUUGCACUCACUGAGAUCAUACUGGAUCAGCUAACUGCUGCUUCUGACGAGUCCCUCAGAGGAUGUUCCUGCCUAGAAGUUGCACCACUGAGAUCAUACCAGACCAGCUAUCUGCUGCUUCUAACGAGUCCCUCAGAGUGAUCCAGCUAGUCAUGUUCCACCUGUGGAGGCUAUCCCCCAGUAUACUAUCCCUGUCAUGACCUCUGAAGAUGUUCCUGAACAGUCUGCUCAACCACAGUGCUACCGCUUGAUGCUGACUUUCACCACAACCCCCCCCCCCCCGCUACCUGCACUUUCUACUCUUGCAACUAUUGUGUAGUCUGAGUGGAUGCCAGGAGGCGUCCAUUGGGAGGGGGGUAGUGUCAGGGUUUUGCACUGUCACUGGGUUUUGUUUCUUGUUUAUGUCUUGUCAGCACAUGGCCUUGUUAGUUGUUUUCUCUGCCAUGUGCUCCCUUAGUCCCUCCUCCUUGUUUCAUUUCUACGUCACCCUCUUGUUAGCCUUGUUAGUCUAAUUGUGCUCACCUGUUCCUCAUGUGUUUUCCUCCCUAUUUAUAGUGCUCCUUACCCUUUUGUUUUUGCUGGUUCGUGGUCAUUUUCACCCCCUCUGUCACCGUCUUCGUAGCUGUCUGUGGAUAUGGCUAUAUGUGCCUGUGUCUCCCUGUCUGGUUGGUCUUGUGCCCUUGUUUUGUCUAGUCCUUGUUGUUUCGUGUUCUUGUCUUGCUCCUUAGGUUGGUAAUCUAUAGUAGUUUAAAGAAAAUACUAGUUUAAAACUAAUUUUCCUUUUUCUUGCUGUCAUUGUAGUAUGCAAAGACACUACAAGCUUGGAAUGCACACAUUUGGGCUACUUGCAUGUUCAACCAAUCUGAAGCAGAUGGAUGAGGUGCUUCUCAGUGCCACAGUUGUGUUUUGUUGUCCCUGCAGUGGAGACGAUGUGGCAAAGCAUUACAACAACUUAGUAGUGCCUAUGCAACAAGUGGGAAAACUGGAAUUUGAGGAAGAAAACAUUGCUGCUGAGGACUAGAAGGUAAUUAACACAGUGUGAGUUCUAUUCAUGUAGAAUAUUGACAGCACACAGCCAUGCAGUAUGGUCUUAUGUUGAAAUCUCUAACUUGACCUGCUGUGGAUUUUUUAGAGGACAUUGCAUUCGCAACCAUGUGUGUUUUGCAUCAUGUACAUGAAGACAAGCAUGACAGUUAAAGACUUUUAUUCAGGAUGUGCCCUACCUCUUGCUUAAUGCUUCUAGGGAGUAGCUGUCCCACAAAUUGAUGCUGAAUUAAGUAAUUUUGUUUAUUUACAAUGAUGUGGGAAACACAGCUCUCGAGAGCCACUUCCAGCAGGUAAUAGAGAGAGCGCCUCUUGACCUUGAUGGCGAAGAAAACAAUUAUCAUGCUCCAGCAUUCAUUGCAAGAUUGGCCAAGUACUUCCUCCCACAUGCAACUCUGUGGUCUGGUCUGAUGCUAGGUGAUAUUGGCCGUCAUGGUACUUGCUCAGCAUACCAGCAUUUCAGCAAGAUUUAUGAAUAAGUCAGUAAGUCCAAUAAACAGAACUUUACACAGGACAAUCGAACACAGGACAUUAUGGAAAAAAGCCAAUGGGACCUAAAAAAAAUCAGGUUCCAGAGAAGGAGACUCACACGACUGGAUGACUUUGUGCUGAUAUAUCAAAGGAUGCAUGAUGCACAGCUCCGUGAAUAUGAUGACACAGAAAGAUCAAGAAAGAAAUUGUUUCGAGUGGAAAUGGAACAGUGGAAAAAGAAAAGUCAGAAGCGUAAAGGAGUAUACGUUUCUCCAUUAGUGAAGGGUUUGCCAUUCAAAGAUGUGAGAAGCAAGGAGAAGCCUUCAAAGGCACCCCCAGAAGUACA